rnacentral:lncRNA from 1 species
AUGCUUCAAUCUUAUGGGUUAACUGUGAAAAAGCUUGACGAGAAAUUGGAAAGAACUCUUCUCCAUUCGUAUCGCAAGGUGUGGCCCAGUUUUGUGCUUCGUCCAUAGGUUUGUUUUUCCGCGUUUGGAUCCAAAAUGUUUGAAAAGUAUGCAUCAUUGAGCGAGUGUCCUCAAGAACAAGAGUCACAUGUUUUUUAGAGAAGGUCGGGGACUAGAUGACGGUGUGAAGGUUGAGUUUUGACUUUAUUUGGAAAACGGGGUGGAAUUUACUCCCAUUUACUUAAUGUGGGUCAAUUUGGAUUGGAUUUUAUUGUUGAAUGUUGGUCAAGUUUAAAAGCUUACCUAAAUAUGAGGCGGGUCAACUUGGUCAUAACGAGUUGAAAGUCAAUGAAAAUGGUUUGACCACGUAAACAGACCCCUAAAAAGGAUAAAUAACGAGCUUAUAGUGAUCCACUUUUUAUGGCCAGGAUUGACACCUCAGUUCUGCAAAGUUUCAUUUUUAUUUUCUAAACAUUUUUUAAGUUAAAAAAGAAAACAAUUAGUACGCUUUAAAAUUAACCAAUGUAAAAAGCACCAAUGGGCUAACAAUCUGGGAUAGGAGUUUUCCAUCAAAUGGGUCAGAAUGGAGUUAUGUGGAUAUGGGAAUGAAGAUGCUGGUAAGGGGAGUAUUAAAUUGAAUUAUUGAGCUCCAUUAAAGGUGAAUUAUCUUGGUUGGAAGGCUGUUGAGGGUCGGUUGGCUGCCAAAAUGGAGUUGGGCUGCAGUGGGGUUUCUGCAAAUUGUUUGAUUUGCUGCAGGUGUGGGCUGGAUAGGGAAGACACAAGUCAUAUCUUUAUUAAAUGCUUGGUGGCGAGAUGUUUUGGGUGGCUGGCUGGUUAGCGUCGGGUUGAAGGAGCCAUGCAGACAAAGGAGUUGCUUAUCCUGGAU